rnacentral:lncRNA from 1 species
GUGGUGACCUGGGAAUCAAUGUGUGAGGUGGUGCUAUGUAGCAGGAACCCCUCUUGCUUUGCAAAUAGUUUUUUGUUUGUUUUCCUUUUUGCCCAAUAGAGCCCUGCUCUACUGACCCUUCAAUGUGCCCGUGUGCCUAAAUAUUCCUGGUCGUGUGAAAAGAACCCAGGUAUUAGCUGAACUAAGGAGCACAAUUCUGCAACAUUUUGGCACCCAAACACGGGGCUUGAGAAAUGAAUGCAAUUGGAGAAACUGGUUGUUUUACCAGGCGUUGAUUGGAAAUGUGUGCUUCCCUUUAAGCAGUCAAGCUCAACUUGCAGAACUGAUGGGAACCCCUUGGGAAAACUGGCCUCAAAUGUUUGUCUACACAGUCCACAUACAGGGUUCUUAACCUGCGACUGACCCUGCUUGUGCCUGUGAACCAACCAACAAUCUCUGGCUGCAGCUCAGAAAGGACAAAAGAGAAUGGGCCAUCAAACUCCAGUCUGCACCUGGAGCCUUGGAUGAUGGCCUUUUUUACUGGGAACCCUGAAAUAGGCCUCUGAGGGAAAUCUGAUUGCCAUUUUCCCAAAACAGCUUCCCUGACAAUAGGAAGCAAUUAAGAUUGGUCUUCAUCCUUAUCUUUAUCCUUAUUCUAAUGGCAGUUAGAGGUACUUCUUUAGAGGGGGGAAUGAGACAGCCAAAUGCCUAGGCAGAUAAAAAGGUGUACCUGGAAAAUUUCCAACCCGUCACACAAGUGUUUACAUCAGAUGCUUUUGUGUAGAUGAGGGAAACUUCCCAGGGCUUGUCUGGGUAUGCCCACAGUGGACUGGAGCCCAAAAUGCACACUGGAGGAAGUGGAUGGAGCCACGUGGAUGUCAUGCCUUAUGCAGGGGAGGAGCCUGCUCUCUUCAGCUCCUGUGGUAAUGUGGGAAUCGAUCUGUGAGGAAACACUUUCUGAAAAUGUCAGAACUCUUGAAAACAUGGAUGAGGAAAAGCAUAAGUACUGCUUUAUGCUUUUCUUAUGAAUUUUAAAAGAUGUAAUUUAAAGGUACUUUAAAGUGAUAUUUGUGCCCUUGUAACUGAUUCAAAGUAGACUGCUAAGGACAAUAAGUAAUAAGAGUCUACAAAUAUCAGUAAAUUAUGAGAAAAAACGGUCUAAUGGUA